UUUCACAUAGAAAACGAAAAAAAAAGAAAAAAAAAAAUUGUAGAACCAAUCUUAGAACAACUUGAUCAGCGAAUGCGAUCUAAAAAACAUCACAGGCAUGAUCACAAAGUGAAAACAAGCACACAUUCUCUGAUACCAAUUGUUGGAAAUAUUAGUGCAGCAGAAACUUACAAACUGGAUAGCCAACGUAUCCGAGAACUGGAAUCGGAUCAGAUUGUUUGUUUUACAAGCCUUCUUGGAUCGCCCUUGUCUCGAUGCUUCUGGAUCUCCUAGGUUCCUCGCCUUCUCCCACGCGUACGCCUUACGUCACGGAUCGGGUUCGUCUGAUGCGUCCAAUACUGAUGGGAUGCAAUGGAUGUCAAUCGAAGAGGGCUACCAGAGUCCUCUUCUAUGUCCACACUCCAAAACUCCGGGAACAUAGGUAGAAAUCUAAGAGAGGAAGAAAGGAGAGAAUAAGGAAGAUUUAUCGUGGAUUCUUUUGAAUUAGAUCGUAUUCGAUCGUCUCUUAUGGGAGAGAAAAGGGGGACGUAUUUAUACAAUAACGGAACCCCUAAAAAUAUCCUGAAUCUCACAAAGAGAUUAGGAUAAGUACUAGGAUUAGAAUAUUCAUGAUAGAUAUCCACUAGAAGAUAUAUUUCUUAACUAAUAAGAAACAUAUAAUUUAUUCUUAUUCUUAACUUAUUAGGAUAAAUCUCAAUCCACAUCUCAAGUGGAUCGGGUUAAAUUAAGACCCGCUAAUGCGGACAUACCAUAUGGCAACAAGUUGGAUAUUUUUUUCGAUUUUGAUAGGGAACUCGUUUUCUUUUUCCCUUUUUUCUUUUUGAAUUUUUGCGUUGUUCUUUUUUUUUUAAGAAAUAGGUAGCACGUUACCCGCUUCGUUUAUUUCAUUUAGAAAUAAACUUAGCUGGAAAUGUGAAUCAACUAGGAUUCGAACUUGAAACCUCGGGUACCAACCAUGAAGCCUUUUGCCACUUGCUCUAGGGACGGUCGAUAAAUUUUUGCGUUGUUGUUA
rnacentral:lncRNA from 1 species